CUGGCUGGAGGGAAGGGGUUAGGUCAAGAAAUUGUCAUGGGGGGCUGAGGGUUGCCAUUUCAAUUUUUUCCUUAGGCAGCAUGAAGACUAUGUACUCCCCUGCCCCUGGCCACAAAGCACUGGGGGAAGGGGGCUUAAGCUGAACUCUUGGACCAGGGCCCUUGAGUCGUUAGCUACGCCCCUGGAGGCAUGUAUGCGCAA